GAUGAACGCUAGCGACAGGCCUAACACAUGCAAGUCGAGGGGCAGCACAUGAGUAGCAAUACGAUGGUGGCGACCGGCGCACGGGUGAGUAACACGUAUGCAACCUGCCUGUAAGAGGGGAAUAACCCGGAGAAAUUCGGACUAAUACCGCAUAAUACCACGAGACUGCAUGGUUUGUGGUUAAACAUUUAUGGCUUACAGAUGGGCAUGCGUAUGAUUAGAUAGUUGGUAGGGUAACGGCCUACCAAGUCUACGAUCAUUAGGGGUUCUGAGAGGAAGGUCCCCCACACUGGUACUGAGACACGGACCAGACUCCUACGGGAGGCAGCAGUGAGGAAUAUUGGUCAAUGGGCGAGAGCCUGAACCAGCCAAGUCGCGUGAAGGAAGAAGGUUCUAUGGAUUGUAAACUUCUUUUGCAGGGGAAUAAAGGACGGUACGUGUACUGUUUUGUAUGUACCUUGCGAAUAAGGAUCGGCUAACUCCGUG
rnacentral:rRNA from 1 species